UACGGGAGUGGCAAGCGUUAUCCGGAAUUAUUGGGCGUAAAGCGUCCGCAGGCGGUCUUGUAAGUCUGUUGUUAAAGCGUGGAGCUUAACUCCAUUUCAGCAAUGGAAACUGUAAGACUAGAGUGUGGUAGGGGCAGAGGGAAUUCCCGGUGUAGCGGUGAAAUGCGUAGAUAUCGGGAAGAACACCAGUGGCGAAGGCGCUCUGCUGGGCCAUAACUGACGCUCAUGGACGAAAGCCAGGGGAGCGAAAGGGAUUAGAUACCCCUGUAGUCCUGGCCGUAAACGAUGAACACUAGGUGUCGGGGAAUCGACCCCCUCGGUGUCGUAGCCAACGCGUUAAGUGUUCCGCCUGGGGAGUACGCACGCAAGUGUGAAACUCAAAGGAAUUGACGGGGGCCCGCACAAGCGGUGGAGUAUGUGGUUUAAUUCGAUGCAACGCGAAGAACCUUACCAGGGUUUGACAUCCUGCGAAUCUUUUGGAAACAGAAGAGUGCCUUCGGGAACGCAGUGACAGGUGGUGCAUGGCUGUCGUCAGCUCGUGUCGUGAGAUGUUGGGUUAAGUCCCGCAACGAGCGCAACCCACGUCGUUAGUUGCCAGCAUUUAGUUGGGCACUCUAGCGAGACCGCCGGUGAUAAACCGGAGGAAGGUGUGGAUGACGUCAAGUCAUCAUGCCCCUUACAUCCUGGGCUACACACGUACUACAAUGCUACGGACAAAGGGCAGCAAACUCGCGAGAGCUAGCAAAUCCCAUAAACCGUGGCUCAGUUCAGAUCGUAGGCUGCAACUCGCCUACGUGAAGGAGGAAUCGCUAGUAAUCGCAGGUCAGCAUACUGCGGUGAAUACGUUCCCGGGCCU
rnacentral:rRNA from 1 species